ACGACUCAUCGAUCAAAAUUUUUAAGGGUUAGCGGAAAAUUUUCCAAUUCCUAAUAUACCACACCAAAAAUAUGGAUUGGUGGUGACUCCUGGCCUAUCAUAUCGGUACUCGUCGUGCAGCAUACGGUCGACUUGAGCAUACCAAAGACAGUACACUAGAUCCGCCGCCGCCGCCGAAGGACGUUGCUCUUGCGAUGGUCAUCGAGCGCGUACCGCCCGGGAUGUCAAGUCUGCUGCAGCGCCCGAGUCGGACUCCCUCGACCGGCCCCGACCGAUUCCGACCGACCGCCCGUGGGGUACCGCGCACUAUAGCCUGCCGCCGGUGUCUAGUACGGCAAAGUAUUAUGAUCAUAAUAUCAUAUUAUCAUCAUCAAUAUUCAUCGUCGUUGUAUUAAUAACACACAGAUUUACUACAUAAGACGUAUUUUAACUGAACGGUGAACACAGAAUGAUAAAAAUAAAUAAAUACCGAUUAACUGAGAGCAAACAAAAUACAACAAUACAGCUGUAGUAAGUCUGUGAUUACAACUAUUCCGCUCAAAAGACGAGUUCUUCUGAUGGCCGUCGUUGUACACAAAAAUAAGCAACGCCAUAAUAUUAUACGCAAAGACAAAACAACGCCGCGGCGUGUCGCUAUUACGUCUUUAGGCGAAGUUCACAAUUAUUAUUUUUUUUUUUUCAAACGU